rnacentral:rRNA from 1 species
ACUUUAAGCAGUGAAGAAGACCUAACGGUUAAUACCCGUUAGCGAUGACAUUAGCUGCAGAAUAAGCACCGGCUAACUCUGUGCCAGCAGCCGCGGUAAUACAGAGGGUGCAAGCGUUAAUCGGAAUUACUGGGCGUAAAGCGAGCGUAGGUGGCUUGAUAAGUCAGAUGUGAAAUCCCCGGGCUUAACCUGGGAACUGCAUCUGAUACUGUUAGGCUAGAAUAGGUGAGAGGAAGGUAGAAUUCCAGGUGUAGCGGUGAAAUGCGUAGAGAUCUGGAGGAAUACCGAUGGCGAAGGCAGCCUUCUGGCAUCAUAUUGACACUGAGGUUCGAAAGCGUGGGUAGCAAACAGGAUUAGAUACCCUGGUAGUCCACGCCGUAAACGAUGUCUACUAGUCGUUGGGUCCCUUGAGGACUUAGUGACGCAGCUAACGCAAUAAGUAGACCGCCUGGGGAGUACGGCCGCAAGGUUAAAACUCAAAUGAAUUGACGGGGGCCCGCACAAGCGGUGGAGCAUGUGGUUUAAUUCGAUGCAACGCGAAGAACCUUACCUGGUCUUGACAUAUCUAGAAUCCUGCAGAGAUGCGGGAGUGCCUUCGGGAAUUAGAAUACAGGUGCUGCAUGGCUGUCGUCAGCUCGUGUCGUGAGAUGUUGGGUUAAGUCCCGCAACGAGCGCAACCCUUGUCCUUAGUUACCAGCGGGUUAAGCCGGGAACUCUAAGGAUACUGCCAGUGACAAACUGGAGGAAGGCGGGGACGACGUCAAGUCAUCAUGGCCCUUACGACCAGGGCUACACACGUGCUACAAUGGUAGGUACAGAGGGCAGCUACACAGCGAUGUGAUGCGAAUCUUUCAAAGCCUAUCGUAGUCCAGA